rnacentral:rRNA from 1 species
UACAGAGGGUGCGAGCGUUAAUCGGAAUUACUGGGCGUAAAGCGCACGUAGGCGGCUUGGUAUGUCGGGUGUGAAAUCCCCGGGCUCAACCUGGGAACUGCAUCCGAAACUGCCUUGCUCGAGUAUGGGAGAGGGAAGUGGAAUUUCCGGUGUAGCGGUGAAAUGCGUAGAUAUCGGAAGGAACAUCAGUGGCGAAGGCGACUUUCUGGUCUGUAACUGACACUGAGGCGCGAAAGCGUGGGGAGCAAACAGG